rnacentral:tRNA from 1 species
GCGUCCUUAGCUCAGUUGGUAGAGUGCUGGUCUCCAAAACCAGUUGUCGGAGGUUCGAGCCCUUCAGGACGUG